rnacentral:rRNA from 1 species
AACGAACGCUGGCGGCAGGCUUAACACAUGCAAGUCGAGCGCCCCGCAAGGGGAGCGGCAGACGGGUGAGUAACGCGUGGGAAUCUACCGAGCCCUACGGAAUAGCUCCGGGAAACUGGAAUUAAUACCGUAUACGCCCUACGGGGGAAAGAUUUAUCGGGGUUUGAUGAGCCCGCGUUGGAUUAGCUAGUUGGUGGGGUAAAGGCCUACCAAGGCGACGAUCCAUAGCUGGUCUGAGAGGAUGAUCAGCCACAUUGGGACUGAGACACGGCCCAAACUCCUACGGGAGGCAGCAGUGGGGAAUAUUGGACAAUGGGCGCAAGCCUGAUCCAGCCAUGCUGCGUGAGUGAUGAAGGUCUUAGGAUUGUAAAGCUCUUUCACCGGUGAAGAUAAUGACGGUAACCGGAGAAGAAGCCCCGGCUAACUUCGUGCCAGCCGCCGCCGUAA